GAUGAACGCUGGCGGCGUGCCUAAUACAUGCAAGUCGAGCGAACAGACGAGGAGCUUGCUCCUCUGACGUUAGCGGCGGACGGGUGAGUAACACGUGGAUAACCUACCUAUAAGACUGGGAUAACUUCGGGAAACCGGAGCUAAUACCGGAUAAUAUAUUGAACCGCAUGGUUCAAUAGUGAAAGACGGUUUUGCUGUCACUUAUAGAUGGAUCCGCGCCGCAUUAGCUAGUUGGUAAGGUAACGGCUUACCAAGGCAACGAAGCGUAGCCGACCUGAGAGGGUGAUCGGCCACACUGGAACUGAGACACGGCCCAGACUCCUACGGGAGGCAGCAGUAGGGAAUCUUCCGCAAUGGGCGAAAGCUUGACGGAGCAACGCCGCGUGAGUGAUGAAGGUCUUCGGAUCGUAAAACUCUGUUAUUAGGGAAGAACAAAUGUGUAAGUAACUAUGCACGUCUUGACGGUACCUAAUCAGAAAGCCACGGCUAACUACGUG
rnacentral:rRNA from 1 species